AUAGGUGGGUUUUAAUGAUUAGGAGUGUAGAUACUGAAAAUUUUAGAUACUAAGGAAAAGCAAUUGUGGUAAAUUAUAGACAAUAGAAAUAGUAUUUGGAGAAGACAAAGUAUUCAAAGAGGAUAAUCAACAUUGGUAUGUUGAAACUUGGGUAUAUGGUGUUGCAGAGAAGAAACAGAAACAAAGAACCCUCCCACCACUGACCUGCCGGAACUGCAAACAGUCUUAAUUGCUAUUAAGAGCUGGAGAGUAGUUGAGAAAUUGCCAGAGACAAAUAAAAAUGGCUAUUAAUGAAGUUGAGAAGAGGGAAAAAAUUGUCAAUAUCCUUAUGAACCAAGAAAUUUAUGGAAAAGGAUUGCGCUAAAAAGCAUCAAGUAGAUGUACAUGGCUUAGGAAAGGGAUUAGGUAGCUGCAGAUUUCUCUGUGAGAUUUCAUAAAUGUAACUUUGAUUAAGUGCUACCAUCUUUUAUUUUUUUAUAGGGUGGUACAGUGAUUGGUAUUGAUAAAACUCUACAAUAUAACUUUUUCAAAAGUUUUGGUUUUUUUCCCCCUGCCUAAAGACAUAUCUUUCGUCCAGUUUUUGUAUUCUUGAAAUUAAUUGUCCUUUGAGUAGUUUAAA